ACCAUAAUCUCUUGAAGCUAUUUAUAAAAUCGGAAAUCUUUUAGGAUUAACACAAGAGCGAAGUUCUAGCGAUUCGCAAAAGUACGUAACAUGGUCCAAGAAUAGUAACAAAAUUGAAAAACUCUGGGAAACAAAAAUGUGUCUUAGAGAUCAAGCAAAAACAAUGAUUUCCAAACCGGAAAACAUCGAUAAUGACAAUGCGGGACAGAACUUAACCAUAGAACUUGUUUUUUUCGACGAAGCAGCAUAUAAUAAGUCCAUGUCUAUUUUGGACAAUGAUGAGGAUAAGUUACACAAUAUUAUAUUAGCGUACGUGAAUCGCAUCCAGGCUGCCUUUAAUCGUCCGAGUUUGGAUGUUUUUAUGAAUAUUACGUUAAUACGUUUAAUUAUGCUGAGAGAACAGCCGUCAAAUUUGCCAAUUUCUGACGGCAAUGCUGGCGAAUUGCUCUUUUCGUUCUGCACAUACGCGAAUUCUCUAAAUUCUCCGGACGAUAAUGAUCCGCAUCACUAGGAUAUUGCCCUUUACUUAACCGGAGUAAAACUUUAUGAAAAUGUUCUGGUAAAAUUUAAAACGCAUGACAGAGAUGAGAAGAAUUUUCAAAUUACAGGAUAUACUUACUUCGAUAGCGUAUGUAAGCCGCUUCUCUCAUGCGCGAUAGCAGAACUCCGUGACCAAUUUGAAGUCGAAUACCCUUUUACUGCUAUUCAGAUAAUCGGUGAACUUUUAGGAUGAAUACCAGAGCGAAAUUCUAACGAUUUGGAAAGGAAUAUUACAUGGUCCGAGUAUAGUCGUCAAAUUUCUAAAAAACACUGGAAAAAUAAAACGUGUCUUAGAGAUGAAGCAAAAACGAUGAUCUCUAGAAAAGAAAACGUCGAUAAUACGCAAAAGAAAUUAAUCAUAGAACUUGUCGUUUUCUUCGAUGAAGCAGCAUAUCAUAUGUACAUGCCUAUUCUGGACAAUGAUGAAGAUAAGUUACGCAAUAUGAUAUUAGCAUAUGUGAACCAAAUUCAAGCUUGCAUCAUUCAAGUUUGGGUGUUUCUGUUGAUAUUUCAUUAAUAAAGUUGGUAAUAAUGGAUAAACAGCUGUCAAAUUUGUCUACUUUCGACGAUGACCAUAAAAAAAUGAUCAAUUCAUUCUGCGAUUACGUAAAUUUUCUGUAUCCUAAAUACGGGAUUGAUUCGCUUCAGUGGGACAUUGGUCUUUACCUAAUCGGAAUAAAUCUAUAUGAGUCAGAAAAGGAACGAAAGCAUUACAGUGUUGUAGGAAGUUCUUUCGUUAAUUUCUCGUGUACCCAGAUUUCAUCGUGCGCCUUAGUAGAAAUCGGUUCUACCGGUCCUAACGCAGUCUCGGGUUUUGCAACGUCUCGUGCUGCUGUUCAUGAGAUCGGUCAUCUAAAAUUAGGAAUGGAACACGAUAAUGGCUUUAUUGAUUUGACGUGUCCAAAUGGCAAAUACAUAAUGACAGAUCUGCUAUAUCCGCGGGGACAAGUAACAUGAUCCGAGUGUAGUCGUAACAUUACAAAAAAUCUCUGGAAAAGAAAACCGUGUCUUCUUGAUCACACGAGACGAGAAGAGAUCGAAAAUCAAUAUGCAUUGGACCAUUCGCGUUAUCACGAUUUGCCGGGAAGAGAAUGAACCGCCAAAGCACAAUAUAAAUUAUUUUUACGCGACAAAGAUGCAAACGUUGUCACAUUGCAUGAUAUAUGUCAAGUCUUACAAUGCGAAACGCCUCACAGGAAUAAAAAUUUCUUCGCGGGACUUGCGUUGGAUUGAACUGGUUGUGCGCUUGGAAAAGAAUGUCGCGGCGGAGAAUGCGUGGCCGUUAUCAAACCACCACACAUUUUUCCAUAUUGUGAAAACAAUAAUUGGAGUGAAUGGAAAGAAGACUCCUGUAAAAGCGAUUGCUUAAAGGUUUCCAAAGGUGCGCGAGUCGAACGACGUUUUUGCAGACAUCGGAUUCACAAAACAGCAAAUUGCAAAGGGCCAUAUUACGACGUGGUCCUGUGUAAUGACUCCAGCCUUUGCACUGAAGAACGCAAAACGGUUUCCGAAUAUACUGCUUUAAAAUGCACUCAACUUAGCGUAAAAGUAAAAAGACAGGGCAAAGAAUAUUUUAAGUACGAACCGUAAAAUGAGCCAGGAAAGCAGGCCUCCCAUGUCGUUGAGGAACCGUGGAGAGCCUGUACCAUACACUGCCUACGAGAAGAAAAAAUAUCUGCUCAAUACAGUCUAUUGCUUUUCUAUGCACCACGCCAGGACAUGCUCGACUUAAAUAUCUAUCCAUACUUUCCAGAUGGAACGUGGUGCCACGAGAAAGAUGGGCAGGAUUAUUAUUGCCGCCAGCAUUAUUGUCUGCCGGAAAACUACUCAAUCGAAGAAUAAUUGUCGAGAGAUUCUCGACAUUAUGUACAAAAAUCUAACGAUAAGAUAAAAUAAAAUUGC